rnacentral:miRNA from 1 species
AUUGGCACUUUUUUGAGUGCA